rnacentral:ncRNA from 1 species
UGUGCAUCCGGAUGACACCUCCACCUCCGACUGCCUCUAAAGCCACGCAGUUGUGGUGCAGGUUGGGUAGGGUAGAAUACGUGGGAGCUUCGGCAAUCGUAAAAAACUGCUACCCUCAUUGCCAUUUGCCACAUUCCCCCGAGUUGCGGCCAAACAUCCGCAUGCGUUCUUGCCUUAAAGUGCUUGUCGGGUGGCGGACCUAUGCGUAAGACACGGUCAGAUGGGGAGCUUAGCAGGGUAGCAACGUCUGUGUAGAAGCAGGACAGGUGUCCUUUGGCCAGCAGAUUGGAAGCAGAAAUGUCAUAUUGACUAGAACCGGAAAUGCUUACUAGGUUUCGACAUUCUGUACGAAUACAAACGGUGAAGGCCUCGCCUAACGAUCUAUAAUGUCUGAGAAACGUUUAGCUAGAGGUACCAGAGGAAUUGCCGCAGACAUAACUGUGUUGUGGCAGCCAAGGGUUCAUGGCAAAAUUGCAGUUUGGUUAUUUAAUAUCGGCUCCUCCUAUCAAUGAAACGCAGAAGUCUCAAAAUGCCGGAUUAUUAACCAACAAACGGGGAACUUGACUUCUGUUUAACCUGCCAUGAGACCGGUUUGUUUUAUCCUACUGGUAAAUUUGAUACAGCGGCAGUAGUCCAACUUAGUGGGAGAAGAACAGUUGAACCAGAUACUUGGUUAAUACGACUAGCCGAAAAGGCAGUGCCGCUACGGCACUGCCUUUUCGUUUUAGCCUGAGAGCCUCUAGCCACAAAGUGGGCGUCCAUGCUGACGAAGCAGCGUUUCUCGUUUUUCACACUUGUCACGUGAGCGUCUUAUCAGUACCUCGUGUCAAACAUUUCAGCAGGCCCUUUGCGCCGUGCGCUGGGCGGCAAUUGCAGUUUCCCAUAAUUAGGGCUGUGAAUUCACUGCAGACGAUUUUGUUGCAACUAUGUGUUGUAAACGCGAGAAUAGGCUUGUUCUACGGUCUACUAGUUUUCAGCCCGGGCUGUAUGAUGU